rnacentral:tRNA from 1 species
AGGGAUAUAGCUCAGUGGUGUAGCACCUGCCUGGCAAGCAUGAGGUCCUGAGUUUGAAUCCUAGUACCUA